rnacentral:rRNA from 1 species
UGGGGAAUCUUGGACAAUGGGGGCAACCCUGACGCAGCCAUGCCGCGUGAGUGAAGAAGGCCUUAGGGUUGUAAAACGCUUUCACCGGUGAAGAUAAUGACGGUAGCCGGAGAAGAAGCCCCGGCCAAGUCCGUGCCAGCAGCCGCGGUAAUACGGAGGGGGCUAGCGUUGUUCGGAAUUACUGGGCGUAAAGCGCACGUAGGCGGGCUGGUCAGUUGGGGGUGAAAUCCCGGGGCUUAACCUCGGAACUGCCCUAAAUACUACCAGUCUAGAGUUCGAGAGAGGUAAGUGGAAUUCCUAGUGUAGAGGUGAAAUUCGUAGAUAUUAGGAAGAACACCGGUGGCGAAGGCGGCUUACUGGCUCGAUACUGACGCUGAGGUGCGAAAGCGUGGGGAGCAAACAGGAUUAGAUACCCCCGUAGUCC